GAUGGACUUGGUCAUCCAACCUAAUAGUGUUGCCGCUGUGAUUGUUAGCCAAUCGCUCGAGGGCACCCUCUUGCUUGUUGCUGCUGAGGUACGCCCCCUUUCAGGCUGCCGAGCGCAAACUGGUCUCUCAGGAAAUAAGGAGUUCCUGUUAUUGCAAAGUGGGUUGUUGGCUUCAGGCUGUCUCAUUCUCCCGGUGCUGCAGCGGACAGUUUCGCCAUUGGAGUGUGUGGUGCCUGAUGUUCCCCUUUUUCUACACGGAGACGUCAAGGACGCAGAGCUGUGGCUGGGAGUGUAAUUCAGGUGCUUCCUUCCCCUCUCCUCCAUCGGCGUCCAUGUUCACGACGCCACGUGCAUGGUAACGACCGGCUUGUGCUUGGUUUGUGUUUUUAAUACUUAUCGUGUUGGCUGGGCUUCGCUGUUUUUGACUUUUUUUUUACUGUUUUGGCCUCUGGUGGCCAAGUUUACCCCGGAAGGAUUGUAUGAGUGUGUGUGCGCGCGCAGGGUCGCGCUGUUUUAGUUGCCAUUGUUUGUUUUCGUUGUAGUUGUUAAAUCUAAAUUGUAGUUAUUAAAUCUAUAUAUUUGUUUUGAUUCCAUCAUUUUGCUUUUAUUAUGGAGUUGAUGUCAGUGUGGACUUUAUUUUUAAUUAAAUAUAUUAAUCCCU